UCGAUAAUAGUUUAUUAAAAACAGUAGAUUGUGAUUCUAAAAAUUAAGGACAUUAACCUUAUAUCGAC
rnacentral:tRNA from 1 species